UGUGUAAUGGCCACUCCCUACUCACCAAUAAUGGAGCGUGAACAAGAAGGGCAAGAUUAUGAAGAUGAGAGGUCUACAGCUAGUGGGUGCAAUUGCUUUCAGCUCUUCUCCUUCAAAUGGAAUCAAAACAAUAAUGACUAUGAAAAUAGGUAUCUCCUGAACCAGCAGAAUGGAGACAUUCAACAUGGAGAAUCAUGGGUGGUGAAUCAACUAAAGAAGGUGAAGGAAGUUUCAGAAGUUGUGGCAGGACCAAAGUGGAAGACUUUCAUUAGAAAGGUCAGUGGAUAUAUCAAGAACAUGAAGAAACAAAAGAAUAAUAAUAGUAACAGCCAGUUCCAGUAUGACCCAGAAAGCUAUGCUCUUAACUUUGAUGGUGGUGUUGAUAGAGAAGAAGAUGAUUUGCUGCUACCUGGUUUCUCUUCAAGGCUUGCUUCUGUAGGGGAAAAAAGACAGAAUGUGUUGUGAUCUUUUAGGGUUGUUCUACCUUCAUCCAUGAUUGUUUCAUUAAUUUGUUGUGUGUAAAGCGAU
rnacentral:misc_RNA from 1 species